GACAGAGGGUGCAAACGUUGUUCGGAAUUACUGGGCCUAAAGCGCACGUAGGUGGUCCGCUAAGUCGCGUGUGAAAUCCCCCGGCUCAACCGGGGAAUUGCGCGCGAUACUGGCGGGCUAGAGAUCGGGAGGGGUGAGUGGAACUCCAGGUGGAGCGGUGAAAUGCGUAGAUAUCUGGAGGAACAUCGGUGGCGAAGGCGGCAUCCUGGACCGGUAUUGACGCUGAGGCGCGAAAGCCAGGGGAGCAAACGGG
rnacentral:rRNA from 1 species